rnacentral:rRNA from 1 species
UGCAAGUCGAACGGUAACGGGCCUUCGGGUGCCGACGAGUGGCGAACGGGUGAGUAAUGCAUCGGAACGUACCUUUCAGUGGGGGAUAACGUAGCGAAAGUUACGCUAAUACCGCAUAUUCUGUGCGCAGGAAAGCAGGGGAUCGCAAGACCUUGCGCUGAUUGAGCGGCCGAUGUCAGAUUAGCUAGUUGGUGAGGUAAAGGCUCACCAAGGCGACGAUCUGUAGCGGGUCUGAGAGGAUGAUCCGCCACACUGGAACUGAGACACGGUCCAGACUCCUACGGGAGGCAGCAGUGGGGAAUUUUGGACAAUGGGGGCAACCCUGAUCCAGCCAUGCCGCGUGAGUGAAGAAGGCCUUCGGGUUGUAAAGCUCUUUCGGCCGAGAAGAAAUCGCAUGGGCCAAUACCCUGUGCGGAUGACGGUACCGGCAUAAGAAGCACCGGCUAACUACGUGCCAGCAGCCGCGGUAAUACGUAGGGUGCGAGCGUUAAUCGGAAUUACUGGGCGUAAAGCGUGCGCAGGCGGUUUUGUAAGACAGGCGUGAAAUCCCCGGGCUCAACCUGGGAACUGCGCUUGUGACUGCAAGGCUAGAGUACGGCAGAGGGGGGUGGAAUUCCACGUGUAGCAGUGAAAUGCGUAGAGAUGUGGAGGAACACCAAUGGCGAAGGCAGCCCCCUGGGUCGAUACUGACGCUCAUGCACG